rnacentral:lncRNA from 1 species
GGCUGGGAUGUAAAGGAGGAGGAACUAGCUGGGGAAAGGCUGGUUUCAGGUGGCUGUCACUGGCUGGAACCUGCAGACCAGGGCUGUGCAGAAGACCACCCAUCCACUUCUCCUGAGCCUCCUCCUGAGGAGGAGACAAGGGAACCAUGCCACUGUGAGGCCAAGGAGCUGGGGUCCAAUAUGUGCAAGGAACCUUUCAGAAGAAAGCAGGAAGGAAGAGAGAGUGGCCUGAAUCUUGGAUGACCACACUUUCAAGCCUCUGUAAGGAAGUGCCCUCUUCGCUUCCGGGAGAGCCGCGCGUAUACUCAGAAUGAAGCCUGGAGAAGUGAGUGUACCCACGCUCAGGGCAACAUUCCUCACCCCCGGCUGAGCCCUGUCCCAGCCCCCCACCUGCAGUAUCGGCCAGGCCGGUUAGGUCACAGUGGAGUGGCUCAGACCUGUUGGCCCUGCACCCUGGCAGCUCGCCAGCACCUCCCCAGGCAGCCUGCCAUCAGCUAGGCCUCUCACUAUCGCAGAGACUCAUUCCAGGUCCCUCAGACCCAGAAAGCCCCCCAGGGCCUGUGUGCUGUGUGCUCAGCAUUUCCUCCCUGGCUUUCUGCCCCUCCAAGCAGCCCCCACUCCACACUACAGCACAGUCCUAUGUAGUGUGAUGAGGUGGAGCCUCAUAGGCUUCAGGCUGAUCCUCAGCUCUGCCACUUAGGCUGUGUGACUUCAGGCAAAUGCCUUAACCUCUCUCAGUCACAGCUUCCACAUCAUUUAAAUGAAAACCUUGCCUGGCUUGAGGGGUGGUUGUGAGGAUUUGGUGGGAUAAUACACAUCAAGCACUUAAAUGGGGCCUGGCACACAAUGUACAUAGAGCAUCUAAUUUCCAGGUGCUCAGCUUCUUCCUUUUUCUUUUCUGAGACUGGCUCUCACUGUAUCACCCAGGCUGGUGUGCAGUGGUGUGAUCACAGCUCACUGCAGCCUUGACCUCCUAGGCUCAAGCGAUCCUCCAGCCUCAGUCUCUGGAUGGAGCUAGGAUUUACUAGGCGUGUGCCACCACACUCAGCCAUUUUUAUUUAUUGUUUUGUAGAGACAGGGGUCUCACUAUGUUGCCCAGGCUGGUCUCAAACUCCUGGCUUCAAGUGAUGCUUCCACCUCCGCUUCCUAAAGUGCUGGGAUUACAGGCAUGAGCUACCAUGCCCAGCCAAUUUUUUCUUUCAAAAGUAAUUUAUGGAAUGAAGUGCCAGCCAAGCACUGUGAUCACAGCUUUACAUGCAUUACCACAUUCAAUCCUCAUGAUAAACUCUCAAGAGAGUGUUAUGGGUUCAAGUGUCCUACCAAAAACAUAUGAAAAACAUGUGAAUGCCUAAGCCCCAGUA